rnacentral:rRNA from 1 species
UGGGGAAUAUUGGACAAUGGGCGCAAGCCUGAUCCAGCCAUGCCGCGUGAGUGAUGAAGGCCCUAGGGUUGUAAAGCUCUUUCACCGGUGAAGAUAAUGACGGUAACCGGAGAAGAAGCCCUGGCUAACUUCGUGCCAGCAGCCGCGGUAAUACGAAGGGGGCUAGCGUUGUUCGGAUUUACUGGGCGUAAAGCGCACGUAGGCGGACUUUUAAGUCAGGGGUGAAAUCCCGGGGCUCAACCCCGGAACUGCCUUUGAUACUGGAAGUCUUGAGUAUGGUAGAGGUGAGUGGAAUUCCGAGUGUAGAGGUGAAAUUCGUAGAUAUUCGGAGGAACACCAGUGGCGAAGGCGGCUCACUGGACCAUUACUGACGCUGAGGUGCGAAAGCGUGGGGAGCAAACAGG